AUGUCAAUGUUGAUUAAUGUUUAUUUCUCACUUGUAUUUUUCCUUAGGUUGGAGAAAGAAAAAGGUAAAAACAUGGAUAGACGUAGUCUUAGAAAACGAGCAGUGAAAAGGGUGAGUUCUUUAUUUUCUUCCUUUCCUGAUGAGAUGCAGAUCACUGGAGCUGCAGAGAAUGCCACUGUGAAUAUCACAGAGGAGGACCAGAAUCAGGGUGAUCAGGGUCAGGCAUCACAUAAAUUUGACAGUGAAGAUGAUUUGCAGAGUGAUGAUGACAUAGUAAAUGUCAGUACAUCACUAACUGACUCUUUGUGCGACUGGGCAGUUCAUUUCAGAGUGUCUUUAGUAGCUUUGGCUGCACUUCUGGCCAUCUUGAGAGUUCAUCAUCCUUUCCUACCAAAGGAUGCCAGAACUCUUCUACAUACCACUACCUCCUACAGCAUCCAAGUUGUUGCUGGUGGUACCUACCACUAUGUCGGCAUUUUGAAAGCUUUUGCAAAAAGCAUGGAUCGCAUCUGGUCUCACAUUCCAAACAGGCAUGAAUUUAAAUUGCAGCUGAACGUAGAUGGACUACCUCUGUUUAAGAGUUCCUCAGUACAGUUCUGGCCAAUCCUUGGCUUGCUACAGGGUGUUGUGAAAAAGCCAGUUGUCAUUGCUCUGUUUUGUGGUGUCUCAAAGCCAAGUUGUCUGGUUGCAUAUUUACAAGAUCUUGUCAGUGAGUUGCAAGAACUAAGCAAAGGAUUCUUCAUCAAAGGGAAACAGUGCUUCUUGAAGGUCAAUUCUGUCAUCUGUGAUGCGCCAGCAAGAGCUUUCAUUAAAGGAACGAAAAGUCAUACUGGUUACUCAGGAUGUGACAAGUGUGUUCAAACAGGUGUUUAUCUUAAACACAGAAUGACUUUUCCAGAAGUCAACAGUGCACUCCGGACAGAUCUGUCUUUCAAAAUGCUGAAUGAUGAAGAUCAUCACGUGACAAAGUCACCAUUAACUGAUGUAGGUAUAGGCAUGGUGUCAUGCUUUCCUCAUGAUUACAUGCACCUUGUCUGUCUUGGGGUAGUGCGGAGACUGUUGGAUUUAUGGAUUGCAUCAGGGCCUUUGCCAUCCCGCUUGUCUUCUCAUCAGAUGAAGCUUAUCUCUAGUGCACUCGUAGGCUUAAGAGGUUUCAUUCCUACGGAUUUCGCUCGUAAACCAAGAGGGCUUUUAGAAAGACUCCGGUGGAAAGCCACAGAGUUGCGACAGUUCUUGUUGUACACGGGGCCAGUGGUUCUCCAAAAUGUGCUGUCGGGUUCAGUCUACAACAAUUUCAUGUUGUUAUCAGUUGCCAUUUUCAUCCUUGCAAGUCCUUCAUUGUCUGCAGAUCUUCAUGACUUUGCACACACAUUACUUGUGUCAUUUGUGACACAUUUUGGCAAACUGUAUGGUCCAGAAUUUGUCACUUACAAUCUUCAUGGAUUAACCCAUCUUUCUGAGGAUGUUCGAAUACAUGGAAAUCUUGACCUAAUAUCCGGAUUUCCAUUUGAGGAUUAUCUAGGUAAGAUGAAAAAGAUGAUAAGAACCCCGCAUCAUCCACUAGCCCAGGUUAUUCGGCGAAUCUCUGAAAUGGAUCCUUUUACAGGAAAUGAUGAAGCUUCACAUGGAAAGAAAAGGUUGCAGAAGGAGCAUGAUUCUGGCCCACUUCCACCCUCUAUGAUGAACAUAUCUGUACUUCAGUUCCAGGAGCUUGUCAUAGGUGGUACCAAAAUAGAUGCAUCAAGCGAGGGAGACAGAUGUGUUAAGAUUGGUGGCUGCAUUGCUUUGAUUGACAAUAUCCUUCAGUGUCAGGACAAAAUAUAUAUUGUCUUCAGAGAAUAUGAAUUAAUGGAACCAUUUUUUGAGUAUCCUCUGAGUUCAUGUGAUUUGGGCAUCUACCUGGUUGGAAAAAUCUCAUCGAGGCUGAAAACCAUUCAGUUAUUUGACCAUGUUGAGAAGUAUGUGAGGUUGCCAAAUCAAGACAAAUUUGUUGCAGUGCCAUUGCUGCACUUGUGCCACUGA
rnacentral:lncRNA from 1 species